ensembl:snoRNA
AAGCAACGCUCUGUGACAGAUUAUCAAAAUAGUCUGGCACAAUUUGAGCUUCCUACAGCGAGAAAGUCUAACCUAUUCCAGCACUCUCCCCUCUAUGAGAUGGCCCGUUAUAUAGACUUGGAACAGU